rnacentral:rRNA from 1 species
AGAGUUUGAUCAUGGCUCAGGAUGAACGCUAGCGGCAGGCUUAACACAUGCAAGUCGAGGGGUAACAGAGUAGCUUGCUACUGCUGACGACCGGCGCACGGGUGCGUAACGCGUAUACAAUCUACCUUAUACUGGGGUAUAGCCUUUAGAAAUGAAGAUUAACCCCCCAUAGUCUCUAAGAGUGGCAUCACAUUUAGAGUAAAGGUUACGGUAUAAGAUGAGUAUGCGUUCUAUUAGUUUGUUGGUGAGGUAACGGCUUACCAAGACUACGAUAGAUAGGGGCCCUGAGAGGGGGAUCCCCCACACUGGUACUGAGACACGGACCAGACUCCUACGGGAGGCAGCAGUGAGGAAUAUUGGACAAUGGAGGCAACUCUGAUCCAGCCAUGCCGCGUGUAGGAUGACUGCCCUAUGGGUUGUAAACUACUUUUAUACAGGAAGAAACACCUCUACGUGUAGAGGCUUGACGGUACUGUAAGAAUAAGGAUCGGCUAACUCCGUGCCAGCAGCCGCGGUAAUACGGAGGAUCCAAGCGUUAUCCGGAAUCAUUGGGUUUAAAGGGUCCGUAGGUGGAUAAUUAAGUCAGAGGUGAAAUCUUGCAGCUCAACUGUAAAAUUGCCUUUGAAACUGGUUAUCUUGAGUUAUUAUGAAGUAGUUAGAAUAUGUAGUGUAGCGGUGAAAUGCAUAGAUAUUACAUAGAAUACCAAUUGCGAAGGCAGAUUACUAAUAAUCAACUGACACUGAUGGACGAAAGCGUGGGUAGCGAACAGGAUUAGAUACCCUGGUAGUCCACGCCGUAAACGAUGGUUACUAGCUGUUUGGACUUCGGUCUGAGUGGCUAAGCGAAAGUGAUAAGUAACCCACCUGGGGAGUACGUUCGCAAGAAUGAAACUCAAAGGAAUUGACGGGGGCCCGCACAAGCGGUGGAGCAUGUGGUUUAAUUCGAUGAUACGCGAGGAACCUUACCAGGGCUUAAAUGUAAGUUGCAUUAGUUAGAGAUAGCUAUUUCUUCGGACCACUUACAAGGUGCUGCAUGGUUGUCGUCAGCUCGUGCCGUGAGGUGUCAGGUUAAGUCCUAUAACGAGCGCAACCCCUGUUGUUAGUUGCCAGCGAGUCAUGUCGGGAACUCUAACAAGGCUGCCAGUGCAAACUGUGAGGAAGGUGGGGAUGACGUCAAAUCAUCACGGCCCUUACGUCCUGGGCUACACACGUGCUACAAUGGUAGGGACAGAGAGCAGCCACUGGGCGACCAGGAGCGAAUCUAUAAACCCUAUCACAGUUCGGAUCGGAGUCUGCAACUCGACUCCGUGAAGCUGGAAUCGCUAGUAAUCGGAUAUCAGCCAUGAUCCGGUGAAUACGUUCCCGGGCCUUGUACACACCGCCCGUCAAGCCAUGGAAGUUGGAAGUGCCUGAAGUCCGUCACCGCAAGGAGCGGCCUAGGGUAAAGUCGAUAACUAGGGCUAAGUCGUAACAAGGUA